UAAAAGUAUAUUUUUAUUAUCUCGUAAUUUUCAGAAAGCAGUACACCGUCUUCCCAACUCUUAGACAAACUGUAGCAGGCGCUACGAACCGGAGCAAGGACUAACCUCGCCUCAUAACGAGGCUGUGACCUAUAUUUGCUCGGAGCUGUCUGCAAGUCCAGAUUUACAUGACGCUGAUAAUGACGCCACUGUGUCUGCCUGUAAGACAUAUUACCAGACAGCACGCAGGAGCU